CCACGAAGAAGGCGAUGUAGCUCAGAAAACAACGCCGGUAGGACCUGAUAUUAAAAAUAAGUCUUUUGCCGGCGAAGCCAGUUGGCAGAACAUCUUGGCUGUCAACAACAAGCUUUCGAAUACAUGACUAGUUUGGCUGUUCUUUCAGCGUCGUGUGUCCAAAAUUCGUCAAAGAUUUUGAUGAAGCCCUUUCAAAAUACUGUUUGAUUGAUUAAUUUUCUGCCAUAAAGCAUAAAAGAAAAGAAAUUCGAAAAAAUCGAUAAUGGAAUUUGUUACGUGCGUUUGACCUUAUAUUAAUUAUCG
rnacentral:lncRNA from 1 species